AUGCGGAUCUCCGGCGGGCAAGCGCUGGGGGAGGAGGCGGCCGGCGUGGUGCGGCAAGCGGUGAGCUUGGCGAGGGUGAGGGGUCACGAGCAGGUGACACCACUGCACAUCGCCAGCGCCAUGCUUUCGGCGUCCACGGCAUGCACCCUCCGCGCCGCCUGCGUAAGGUCCCAGUCCCACCUGCUGCAGCACAACGCGUUCGACCUCUGCCUAGGCCUCGCGCUCGACGGCCUGGCCGUGGCAAGGCGAGCAACCGCCGCGAGCCGCCGAUGUGGCGACCACGUCGACCCGGCGCCGUCGAACGCAUCCGUGGCCGCGCUGAAGCGGGCGCAGGCGCAGUGUCGCAAGGGCGCCGUGGGCGGCGACAAGGUCGAGCUCAAGCAGCUCAUCGUCUCCAUCCUCGACGACCCCAGCGUCGACCGCGUUAUGCGCGCUGCCGGCUUCUCGAGCUCCCAGGUCAGGGACACUGUCCUUUCUUUGGACGUCCCCACUUUACCUGAUCGGGUUUCCCAGAAGAUUAGGGCUGGAGGACAACCAUCUCUCCAGACCGUCCCGGAGCUUUACCUGCCAGUCGUCGCCGACGUCCCAGACGGAAGUGAGUGUCAAGCUAACAAAGCAAAAUCAGGAGCAAGGUGGCCGGCCCUUUUUGGCGGCACUGAGGUAGUCCCAACGACGGCGAGCCUUCCACCGUGGCUCCGCCGCUACAAAGAUACAACAUACUGCGGCAUCAGUCCUCAUGCAGACGCUACCUGCGGCCGGCCGAAGUUCACAGAGCUCACCGCCCAAAAUCUCAAGAUCCUGUGCGACGAGCUCGAGCGGAGCGUUCCGUGGCAUGGGAACAUCAUUCCCGGCAUAUGUAGCACGGUGCUCCGGUGCCGAUCUGGUGUGACGAGGAGGAGGACGGGGGACAAGUCGUCUAGCUCGUCCUCGUCGACGACAACCUGGCUGCUCUUCCGUGGAAGGGACGGUGGCGGCCAGACGGCGGUUGCUCGGGAGCUUGCUAGGCUCGUGUUUGGCUCCGACGCCGACUUCACUGCACUGCAGGGUAACCCCAACAAUCCUGCACGCUCCGGCAAGAGGCAACGAUCGCCGGAGAACGACGGUGGCAUCGGAGCGAGGCUGUUCGAAGCAAUCCUGGAGAACCCUCAUCGUGUUAUAUUAAUCGACGGUGUCGACCGACUGGAUCGCGAUUCCGAGAUUUGCAUCAAGGACGCGAUCGCUGGAGGAACAAUGGUGGGGGGAUGCAAUGGAGACGUGGUCGGUUUGGAGGAUGCCAUCGUAGUGCUGAGCUCUGACGCGUUGGACUCCGCUUCCUCCCCACGGGUGAAGCGAAACCGCGAGGAAGGUGAUGCCACCGAGAUGGAAGUGAGAUCUCGUCGUCUUAACUGGGAUUUGAACGUUUGUGCAAUGUGUGGGGAAGAGGAGGACGACGGUUUGGCUGAUGCUGAGAGGAUCCUGAAUGACGUGGAUGGUGUUUUCCUUUUCAAUUAG
rnacentral:rRNA from 1 species